AGAGUUUGAUCCUGGCUCAGAUUGAACGCUGGCGGAAUGCUUUACACAUGCAAGUCGAGCGGCAGCGCGGGGCAACCUGGCGGCGAGCGGCGGACGGGUGAGUAAUGCAUCGGAACAUGUCCAUUCGUGGGGGAUAGCCCGGCGAAAGCCGGAUUAAUACCGCGUACGCCCGAGAGGGGAAAGCUGGGGACCGCAAGGCCUGGCGCGAUUGGGUUGGCCGAUGUCCGAUUAGCUAGUUGGUGAGGUAAAGGCUCACCAAGGCGACGAUCUGUAGCUGGUCUGAGAGGACGACCAGCCACACUGGGACUGAGACACGGCCCAGACUCCUACGGGAGGCAGCAGUGGGGAAUAUUGGACAAUGGGCGCAAGCCUGAUCCAGCCAUGCCGCGUGAGUGAUGAAGGCCCUAGGGUUGUAAAGCUCUUUCAGCGGGUAAGAUAAUGACGGUACUCGCCGAAGAAGCCCCGGAUAACUUCGUGCCAGCAGCCG
rnacentral:rRNA from 1 species